AGAUUAAACUUGGAGUCGACUCGUUUGAACGGUUCGUCUCAAUGAACCGUUACGAUACGUAAUUUUUAGCUUGCUGUUAAAUUUUUGCAGAAAAAUAAAUAUUUACACAAAAGGCUACAAGAUGGGCCUCUGCCUCCAAUGUUCUGACUAAAGUCCUCUUGAGAAACUGUACAGUGGUCCAGCAGAAUGAAGAAAAGUUGAGAUGUUAUCUAUUCGGCGAGGUGUGACAAAUGGACUCUACAUAGACACCUCAUAUUGCCGUGCAUCCUGAAAGAUAAACAAAUUAUUACAGGACCACAGACUUGUGAUCGCUUGCCUGUCAGAACAGUGUAAAGCUGUAUGGGUGUACUUGAAACACAUGAACAAAGCAUUGUAUCAUAAUGUUAGUUAUGGCAAGGUCUCAUAAAUGUCAUUUCUAAUGUGCAAACAAAUGCAAGUCCUUGUCAUUUAAAUAAAAAAUGAUAAAAA